UACGUAGGGAGCAAGCGUUGUCCGGAAUCAUUGGGCGUAAAGCGCGCGUAGGUGGCCAUUUAAGUCCGCUGUGAAAGUCAAAGGCUCAACCUUUGAAAGCCGGUGGAUACUGGAUGGCUAGAGUACGGAAGAGGCGAGUGGAAUUCCUGGUGUAGCGGUGGAAUGCGCAGAUAUCAGGAGGAACACCAAUGGCGAAGGCAGCUCUCUGGUACAUGACUGACACUGAGACGCGAAAGCGUGGGGAGCAAACAGG
rnacentral:rRNA from 1 species